AGCAGCCGCGGUAAUUCCAGCUCCAAUAGCGUAUAUUAAAGUUGUUGCAGUUAAAAAGCUCGUAGUUGAAUUUCGGGGUCAGCAGGUUGGUCGUGCCAAUGGUAUGAACUGGCCUUGCUGAUUCCUCCCUCUUGAUGAGCCGUAAUGUCAUUAAUUUGGUGUUGCGGGGAAUCAGGACUGUUACUUUGAAAAAAUUAGAGUGUUUAAAGCAAGCAAGCGCUUGAAUACAUUAGCAUGGAAUAAUGAAAUAGGACGUUUGAUCCUAUUUUGUUGGUUUCUAGGAUUGACGUAAUGAUUAAUAGGGAUAGUUGGGGGCAUUAGUAUUCAAUUGUCAGAGGUGAAAUUCUUGGAUUUAUUGAAGACUGACUACUGCGAAAGCAUUUGCCAAGGAUGUUUUCAUUAAUCAAGAACGAAAGUUAGGGGAUCGAAGACGAUCAGAUACCGUCGUAGUCUUAACCAUAAACUAUGCCGACUAGGGAUCGGAUGAUGUUAAUUUUUUAAUGACUCA
rnacentral:rRNA from 1 species